AGGUAUCUUCCAUGGCAGUCCAGUCCUCACAUCUGGUCGAGUAAAAAACCGGUAUCGUUGUGCAUGGCUUGUAUUCGCACGAGGGGUUAUACUCCUCUUUCAGUGAACCAAGCUGAAGAUGAAGUUUUGUUUUAAUCCAUGUACAAUUCUUUGUUCCCCUGUAGGAUACUAGAUGCGUAACUAAACACAGCGCUCCCCCAGCUACAAUUCUGGGACUGCAUAGUAGGUCCGUUCUGCUAGAGAGAAAGCAGGCAUUUGUUUUUCUACAGUACAUAACAUUUCACUGUAUGUAUGUGUUCUCUUAAAUAUGAAAAAAAGACAUGGUUGGGCACAUUGUUUAAGGGAUCAGGUGAUGAGAAUGAUGAUGGAGUUUGGGAGAAAAAAAACCAAGGAUUCAAAUUCCUGCUGGCGCCAAGAAGCACAAUGCGGGAAAAAACCUGGGUGUGCAUACAGAGUAUGAGGUCGCUGUAGACUGGAACAAGUAUGUAGACCGCCCCUGGCUCUUUAAGAUAAAAGCUCAAAUUACAAAUCUGAGGAGACAGGGGUUGGUGGAGGAGGGUCAGAACCGCUACCCCUUCCCAGCAGAGUUCUCUGAUCUUCUUUCCCAGCUAAAUUAAUUCUCCCAAACCUCAUUUUCAUUCCGAACAAAAUUUACAAUAAAGAAUAAAAACAGAAUUAACAUUU